rnacentral:tRNA from 1 species
GCCCCUAUAGUUUAAAAUAAAAUUCUAUCUUUGUAAGUUAGAGAUGAAAACUCUAUAGGCA